CGGCUAUAUCCCGCUGAAACACCGGUUCUCGUGCAAUCAGCGAAGUUAAGCAACAUUGACCCUCUUCAGAACCUAGAUCGGUGACCGCUUGGGAAUACCAGGUGUUGCAAG